GAUGAACGCUGGCGGCGUGCCUAAUACAUGCAAGUAGAACGCUGAAGGAGGAGCUUGCUCUUCUGGAUGAGUUGCGAACGGGUGAGUAACGCGUAGGUAACCUGCCUGGUAGCGGGGGAUAACUAUUGGAAACGAUAGCUAAUACCGCAUGACAACAGUUAUUGCAUGAUAACUGUUUAAAAGGGGCAACUGCUCCACUACCAGAUGGACCUGCGUUGUAUUAGCUAGUUGGUGAGGUAACGGCUCACCAAGGCGACGAUACAUAGCCGACCUGAGAGGGGGUUCGGCCACACUGGGACUGAGACACGGCCCAGACUCCUACGGGAGGCAGCAGUAGGGAAUCUUCGGCGAUGGACGGAAGUCUGAACGAGCAACGCCGCGUGAGUGCAGAAGGUUUUCGGAUCGUAAAGCUCUGUUGUAAGAGAAGAACGAGUGUGAGAGUGGAAAGUUCACACUGUGACGGUAUCUUACCAGAAAGGGACGGCUAACUACGUG
rnacentral:rRNA from 1 species